rnacentral:lncRNA from 1 species
CCGAAGCUGUCCAGCGGGAGAUAGACGGCUGGUUUUACAACAUUGAGUCCCAGAAUGUGCGCUUAUCGGAACGUCAAGACGUGAUUUUCAAGUUUUUAGUUGACCAAUUUGCUGCACAGAAUGCACUGACCAUCCAAACCCAUCCGGGCGUUCCACUUAGCCAUUUCCCUACAGCUCCCGUUCUGCCAGUAUUUCCCCCAUCCAAUCAAGAGAUGAGCGAGGACGAUGAUGCUCCCCCAGAAGAAUAAGUUCGUCAAGGAAGUCCUCUGUUUUAUUUUGCCUUAUUUUUCGCAUGAGGACAUUGCUCUAGCUUAGUUUGGGGGUGGUUACAUUUUAUUUUUAACAAUUGUAGUUUGUUAUUAGUUUGUGGAUUGAUUAUUAGUAAAGUUGCAUUUAGGAUUGCAUGUUAAUUCCAGUUUUUGAUAGUGCGUAUAUCUGGG